UACAUGUGGGGCAAGCGUUGUUCGGAAUUACUGGGCAUAAAGGGUGCGUAGGUGGCUUGUUAAGUCAGGGGUGAAAGUUUUCGGCCCAACCGGAAAAUGGCCUUUGAUACUGGCGAGCUCGAGUGCGUGAGGGGUAACCGGAACGAGCAGUGUAGCGGUGAAAUGCGUAGAUAUUGCUCGGAAGGCCAACGGCGAAGGCAGGUUACUGGUGCGCAACUGACACUGAGGCACGGAAAGCGUGGGGAGCAAA
rnacentral:rRNA from 1 species